rnacentral:rRNA from 1 species
CGCUAAAUAGCUAGCCCGCCCCCCAAAAGACAACAACCCCUAUUAAUAACCCCGCAUACUGCACAUUCCAUAAAACAAACCAUUUUUCCCCCUUAGUAUGGGAGACAGAAAAGGCCCCAGGCGCUAUAGUGAAAGUACCGCAAGGGAAAGCUGAAAGAGAAAUGAAAUAAUCCAGUAAGGCAUCGAAAAGCAGAGAUUAUCCCUCGUACCUUUUGCAUCAUGACUUAGCCAGAAUUUCCGAGCAAAACGCCUUUUAGUUUGAAGCCCCGAAACUAGGUGAGCUACUCCAAGCCCGCCUAUAAGAAUAGGGCAAACCCUUCUCUGUGGCAAAAGAGUGGGAAGAGCUUUGAGUAGAGGUGACAGACCUACCGAACCUAGUUAUAGCUGGUUGCCCAGGAUGUGGAUAGAAGUUCAGCCUUUUGGGUUCUUUAAUUACCUUACUACCAGUCCCCUUAAUACAAAAGAAACCAAAGGAGUUAGUCAAAAGGGGUACAGCCCUUUUGAAGAAAGAUACAACUUUUCUAGGAGGAAAAAGAUCAUAGUUACCAAGGAAAGAUGUCCCCGUGGGCUUAAAAGCAGCCACCCAUUAAGAAAGCGUUAAAGCUUAUACAUCCCUUUGGCCUUAAAUCCCGACCAAAAAAUCUUUACCCCCUAAUAUUUUACUGGGCCGUCCCCUGUCAAUCAGGGGAGUGACCAUGCUAACAUGAGUAAUAAGAGGGCGUGACCCUCUCCUUUGCACCCCCAUAAAUCGGAACGAACCUGCACCGAGUAUUAACCGGCCCCAAUAAAAGAGGGCACUAGGCUUUAAGUAACAAUACGAGAAAAGCGCCUAGCCUCUACCGUUAACCCCACACUGGUGUGCUUCUUAGGAAAGACUAAAAGGAAGAAAAGGAACUCGGCAAACCCAAGCCUCGCCUGUUUACCAAAAACAUCGCCUCUUGUGAAUAUCAAAUAAGAGGUCCCGCCUGCCCAGUGACUUUCACCAGUUUAACGGCCGCGGUAUUUUGACCGUGCAAAGGUAGCGCAAUCACUUGUCUUUUAAAUGAAGACCUGUAUGAAUGGCAUCACGAGGGCUUAACUGUCUCCUCUUGUAAGUCAAUGAAAUUGAUCUCCCCGUGCAGAAGCGGGCAUACUCCCACAAGACGAGAAGACCCUAUGAAGCUUUAGAUAUCGAGACAGCUCACGCCAAAUAAGCCCUUUUAAGGGUCCGAGCUAAGUGACCCUCUUUCUCAUUGUCUUUGGUUGGGGCGACCAUGGGGAAAUAAAAAACCCCCACGCGGAAUGGGACAACCCCCUCCUCCUCCUAGAGCUCAGAGCGCCUGCUCUAAGCAACAGAAACUUUGACCUACAAGAUCCGGCACUGCCGAUCAACGGACCGAGUUACUCUAGGGAUAACAGCGCAAUCCCCUUUUAGAGUCCCCAUCGCCAAGGGGGUUUACGACCUCGAUGUUGGAUCAGGACAUCCUAAUGGUGCAGCCGCUAUUAAGGGUUCGUUUGUUCAACGAUUAACAGUCCUACGUGAUCUGAGUUCAGACCGGAGUAAUCCAGGUCAGUUUCUAUCUGUGCAAUACACUUUUCUAGUACGAAAGGAUCGAAAAGGGGAGGCCUAUGCUCUAGGUACGCCUUGUCCUUACCUAAUGAAAUCAACUAAAGUAGAUAAUGGGAUAUAACCAACAAGCCAGAAACCACGGCAGAU